UUAUCUCUAAUUGUCAAAUACCCCAUGUGAAGAAAAAAAACUCUCAAAUACCCCCUUGUGUUAUCGAAGUCAGAGCAUCGAGACCCCUAGAGGCAAAUCGUGUCACUCACUCGCGGAUUGUGCGAUUUUUAAUAGUAUUUUUAGGGUGAAAUAUCAUAAAUACCCCUUUAUAAAAUAAAAAAUAACCUUGUUGGUUAAAUUAUGAAUAACCUAAAUUUAUAGGACCAAAUUGUAAUUUCCAGAAUUCAAAAUAAUAAUUUGAAAAAAUAU
rnacentral:lncRNA from 1 species